rnacentral:sRNA from 1 species
AGGCGGCCUUGUGGAUGAUCUGAUCGUUGGCGCGGAUCGGCAUGGAGUUCUUUCGGACGGAAACCCUGACAUAAUUCAUCACAUGUGACAAAUGUCAAGCAUCGCUGCUUCGACCCAUGAGGCCGGGCC